CCAGUCGGCCGGGCGGCCGCUCUUCCCCUCGCGGGGGAGGGAGGAAAGUCCGGGCUCCACGGAACAACGGUGCCGACUAACGGUCGGCGGGGGCGACCCCAGGGACAGUGCCACAGAGAACGAACCGCCGCGGAUGCGUCCGCGGCAAGGGUGAAAAGGUGCGGUAAGAGCGCACCGCGGGACCGGCAACGGGACCGGCAUGGCAAACCCCACCGGGAGCAAAACCAAAUAGGGGCGACGCGGGUUCUUCGCUUCGGCGGAGACCCAGUCCGUUCCGGACCAGUCGCCCGGGUCGGUUGCGCGAGGCGUCCGGCAACGGGCGUCCCAGAUGAAUGGCCGCCGCGUCGGGGGAAACCCCGGCCUUACAGAACCCGGCUUAUAGGCCGACUGGCACU
rfam:Prosthecomicrobium hirschii strain 16 C1, whole genome shotgun sequence.